rnacentral:rRNA from 1 species
CCUACGGGAGACUGCAGUGAGGAAUAUUGGUCAAUGGACGAGAGUCUGAACCAGCCAAGUAGCGUGAAGGAUGACUGCCCUAUGGGUUGUAAACUUCUUUUAUAUGGGAAUAAAAUGUUCCACGUGUGGGAUUUAGUAUGUACCAUAUGAAUAAGGAUCGACUAACUCCGUGCCAGCAGCCGCGGUAAUACGGAGGGUCCGAGCGUUAUCCGGAUUUCUUGGGUUUAAAGGGAGCGUAGGUGGAUUGUUAAGUCAGUUGUGAAAGUUUGGGGCUCAACCGUAAAAUUGCAGUUGAAACUGGCAGUCUUGAGUACAGUAGAGGUGGGCGGAAUUCGUGGUGUAGCGGUGAAAUGCGUAGAUAUCACGAAGAACUCCGAUUGCGAAGGCAGCUCACUGGACUGCAACUGACACUGAGGCUCGAAAGUGUGGGGAUCAAACAGGAUUAGAUACCCUGGUAGGC